AACUUGAAGGGUUUGAUUCUGGCUCAGAACGAACGUUGGCGGCAUGGAUUAGGCAUGCAAGUCGGGGGAAUCCCGCAAGGGGGAACCGGCGUAAGGGGCAGUAAGGCAUGGGUACCUACCCGGGGGUUCGGGAUAGCCAUCAGAGAUGGUGGGUAAUACCGGAUGACCUCGUGAGAGCAAAGAUUCAUCGCCCCCGGAGGGGCCCAUGUGAUAUUAGCUAGUUGGUGGGGUAACGGCCCACCAAGGCGAAGAUGUCUAGCGGGUGUGAGAGCACGACCCGCGCCACUCGCACUGAGACACUGGCGAGACACCUACGGGUGGCUGCAGUCGAGGAUCUUCGGCAAUGGGGGCAACCCUGACCGAGCGAUGCCGCGUGCGCGAUGAAGGCCUUCGGGUUGUAAAGCGCUUUAGUGGGGGAGAAAAGCCGAGAGGUGUGAUCUAUCCCAAAAAUAAGCUCGGGCUAAGUUCGUGCCAGCAGCCGCGGUAAGACGAACCGAGCGAACGUUGUUCGGAAUCACUGGGCUUAAAGGGCGCGUAGGCGGGCUAUCAAGUCUGGGGUGAAAUGCCGCGGCUCAACCGCGGAACGGCCUCAGAUACUGACGGCCUGGAGGGAGGUAGGGGCAUGUGGAACUGUAGGUGGAGCGGUGAAAUGCGUUGAUAUCUACAGGAACUCCGGUGGCGAAAGCGACGUGCUGGACCUCUUCUGACGCUGAGGCGCGAAAGCUAGGGGAGCAAACGGGAUUAGAUACCCCGGUAGUCCUAGCCCUAAACGAUGGGUACUAGAUAGUAGACCAGAUAUGGGUUUACUGUCGAAGUUAAAAUGCUAAGUACCCCGCCUGGGGAGUAUGGUCGCAAGGCUGAAACUCAAAGAAAUUGACGGGGGCUCACACAAGCGGUGGAGCAUGUGGCUUAAUUCGAGGCUACGCGAAGAACCUUAUCCUGGACUUGACAUGUGCGAAAGCGCUCGGCAGUAGGACCCGGAAACGGGAACGGACCCCAGCAAUGGGGGGACCGAGCACAGGUGCUGCAUGGCUGUCGUCAGCUCGUGUCGUGAGAUGUCGGGUUAAGUCCCAUAACGAGCGAAACCCUUACCUUUAGUUGCGACCCACAAGGGCACUCUAGAGGGACUGCCGGUGUCAAACCGGAGGAAGGCGGGGAUGACGUCAAGUCCUCAUGGCCUUUAUGUCCAGGGCUGCACACGUGCUACAAUGGUGUACACAGAGUGAAGCGACUCUGCGAAGAGGAGCCAAUCACAGAAAUUACACCCCAGUUCAGAUCGCAGGCUGCAACUCGCCUGCGUGAAGCCGGAAUCGCUAGUAAUCGCGGGUCAGCAACACCGCGGUGAAUGUGUUCCUGAGCCUUGUACACACCGCCCGUCAAGCCACGAAAGAGAGGGACGUCCGAAGCCACCUUCACCGGUGUCGAAGACGGACUUCUUGAUUGGGACUAAGUCGUAACAAGGUAACCGUAGGGGAACCUGCGGUUGGAUCACCUCCUUUCUAAGGA
rnacentral:rRNA from 1 species